GACGAACGCUGGCGGCGUGCUUAACACAUGCAAGUCGAACGAAGUGGCGAACGGGUGAGUAACGCGUAAACAAACUGCCCUUCAGAGGGGGACAACAGAUGGAAACGACUGCUAAUACCGCAUACUGAAGGAGGGGAUUGAGUCUGAGUAGCUAGUUGGGGUGGUAACGGCCCACCAAGUCGAGGAUCAGUAGCCGGUCUGGUACGAUGAACGGCCACAUUGUGACUGAGACCCGGCCCAGACGCCUACGGUAGGCAGCAGUGGGGAAUCUUCCGCAAUUGACGAAAGUCUGACGAAGAAACGCCGCGUGAGUGAUGACGGCCUUCGGGUUGUAAAGCUCGGUUAAGCGGGACGCGGUACAAAGAUAGAAAGCCGCGGCUAACUUCGUGCCAGCAGCCGCGGUAAUAC
rnacentral:rRNA from 1 species